rnacentral:lncRNA from 1 species
CUGAAGUGAAUUUGUCGCUGAAGUGAAUAAAACAUUCCAGAUGGUCUCUUAAUCUGAGGAAAGCCUUCAGUUCAGAAAGUCGUUGUGAAAAAGAAUUCUUUACUGAUAAUGAAACAUUUUGGUUCUUUUGGUGUAUCUCACCCAGCUUUAAAAAUUGACUGGCAUGUUUUUCUAGAAACAUCAGUGUGGCAACUGUAACCUCCCCAUUCUCAACAGACUUUAUUAGAUUAUCAAGGCACGACUCUGCAGUGGCCAUGAUCAUUUCGCAGUCACCCCAUUUCCUUAAUUCCUCCUUACUACUGGAUCUGCUCCCUUAAAAAAUAAAAAA